rnacentral:pre_miRNA from 1 species
AGUUUUGCAGGUUUGCAUCCAGCUGUUCUCGUGGCUUGCUGUGCAAAUCCAUGCAAAACUGA